AAGGACAGACUAAACAAGGUGACUGAGAGAUAAAGUGCUUGACUUUCAAACAAGGACAGACUAAACAAGGUGACUGAGAGAUAAAGUGCUUGACUUUCAAACAAGAACAGACUAAACAAGGUGACAGAGAUAAAGUGCUUGACUUUCAAACAAGGACAGACUAAACAAGGUGACUGAGAGAUAAAGUGCUUGACUUUCAAACAAGGACAGACUAAACAAGGUGACUGAGAGAUAAAGUGCUUGACUUUCAAACAAGGACAGACUAAACAAGGUGACUGAGAGAUAAAGUGCUUGACUUUCAAACAAGGACAGACUAAACAAGGUGACUGAGAGAUAAAGUGCUUGACUUUCAAACAAGGACAGACUAAACAAGGUGACUGAGAGAUAAAGUGCUUGACUUUCAAACAAGGACAGACUAAACAAGGUGACUGAGAGAUAAAGUGCUUGACUUUCAAACAAGGACAGACUAAACAAGGUGACUGAGAGAUAAAGUGCUUGACUUUCAAACAAGGACAGACUAAACAAGGUGACUGAGAGAUAAAGUGCUUGACUUUUAAACAAGGACAGACUAAACAAGGUGACUGAGAGAUAAAGUGCUUGACUUUCAAACAAGGACAGACUAAACAAGGUGACUGAGAGAUAAAGUGCUUGACUUUCAAACAAGGACAGACUAAACAAGGUGACUGAGAGAUAAAGUGCUUGACUUUCAAACAAGGACAGACUAAACAAGGUGACUGAGAGAUAAAGUGCUUGACUUUCAAACAAGGACAGACUAAACAAGGUGACUGAGAGAUAAAGUGCUUGACUUUCAAACAAGGACAGACUAAACAAGGUGACUGAGAGAUAAAGUGCUUGACUUUCAAACAAGGACAGACUAAACAAGGUGACUGAGAGAUAAAGUG